rnacentral:lncRNA from 1 species
AUGUUUCUCUGUAGCCCUUCAAAGGUAGCGUCAGUGAGCCUGGAAGCUUCUGGAUCACGUAUGCCGAUCAAGGAGAGUGUGGAUGGACAUUUAAACUCCUCUCGAAUUCUGGUUCUAAACACCACAGCUGUGGGUGCAGAGCUGAGAGCAGGAAUGGGCUCAAACCACUGCUACAGAAAUGCUGCAGCCCCUCACGGAGGCCAAGGACGUGCUGUCACCAUGUGGCCGUCAACAGGAGAGGAGGGUCUGGCCCUCAUCACAGACCCUGCCUUGGGGCUGCUUCGGCCCACGGCGCCUGUGGACACUCCCUGCGUCCUCUGGCUGCCGAAGGCCCUACGUCUGGACCACGAGACCACGAGGCCCUCGCCCAGAAGCCACUGCUGAGGGCACGUCUGCGGGCCGGCCCAUGGUCAGGAGUCCCGAGGUCUGCUGCCCCAGCAGGUGGGGGCAGACGGGGCGAGCAUGGAGUGUGGAGACAGGAGGCAAGGUCCCACCCCCCCAGCACAGCAUGAGUUAGACGCUGGGAGGCUAACGGCCGGGGUCCUCCAUACCCACUGCCUCCUCUGAGAGGCCCCAGCUCCCGGGUGCUGAGACUCAGGGCCUCUGAGGAUGGGGCUUGCAUGGGCUCCUGUGCGCGCACGUCUGGCAGCCUCCCCCUCCUGGGACGAGGUCACUCAUGCACUCAGCUCCUGGGAAUGAAGAGCCUCGCCCGGCCUGCCCUCCCCGGGUCGGUUCCAGCAGCAGGAAGUCGGGGUCCAGGGCUCAGACAAGAGACGAGAGCAGGACCGCGGCCCCCCAUCAGCACCCCGCGCCCCCGGUGAUGCCCCCCAGGCCUACCCUCUUCACUGCCUGAGACGCGGCCCCAGCUGGGAUGCAGCCCAUGGGCCCUCCCCGCCUCCCCACCUCGCAGGUAAAGCAGCGAUGGGAACUCGGAAGCCAAGGGUGAAGGACGGGGGGCCAGGAGCCCAGCGCACAGGGUCUCAGAACAAGGGGGAGGCUGGGGUGGUCCAAGGAGUGCUGUCCCAGGCUCUGCACACUCAGCGUUUCUCCUCAGGGCAGUUGGUCUCACCCUGUGUGUGCACGCUCACUCACUCAGUCGUGUCUGACUCUUUGUGACCCCGUGGACGGUAGCCCACCAGGCUCCUCUGUCCAUGGGAUUCUCCAGGCGAGACAUUGGAGCGGGUUUCCACACCCUCCUCCAGGGAAUCUCCCCGACCCAGGGAUCUAACCCCGGUGUCCUGCACUGCACGCGGAUUCUUUACUGCUGAGCCACCGAGGAAGAACCGGUCUCACCUUGGCUUCUUGUUGAAAUCGCCGUUGGCUGUGAAAGUUGCUGGUAAAGCCCCUGCCCCUCAGGCCCGGAAAGCAAGGCUCUGGGGGCUCAGCCGGAGUGCCAGUGGUCCCCGUGGCUCCCAGGGUGGGAUGGGGAUCCUGGGGACCCUGGAAACACCUCCAAUAGGAAACUCGCUUUUGUCUCAUGCAUGGCUCCAUCAGGUUCACUUCAACGGACUUUGGCGAGUUUCAAGUAAAAGUGAUCAAGAAUGUUUUAUUACAAUACCACAUGCAUAUUAGCCCAAUUAUCAAAAUGCGACUCUAUCUUUCAGCUAUAAAUAUGUGCAGAGGAGUCUGCACUGACUGUUGGAUUUGGGGGUAGAUUUUUACUUUCUGGGCUUCCCUGAUGGCUCAGUAGGUAAAGAAUCUGCCUGCCAUGCAGGAGACACAGGAGAUGCGAGUUUGAUCCCUGGGUCAGGAAGAUUCCUUAGAGGAGGACACAGCAACCCACUCCCAGUAUUCUUGCCUGGGAAAUCCUAUGGAAAGGCCAUGGACUGAGGAACCUGGUGGGCUACAGUCCAAAGAGUGGGAAAGAGUCAGACACAACUGAGCGACUGGCCAACGCUGUUUUUACUCUCUCGGUGGUUUUCUGUGCAGCUUGAUUUGUUUCCUAAUAAGGAAUGAAUCAUAGUUUACAAAAACACCUAAAUCAUUAUACUAAAAAAUACUACGGAACAAGAUGAUCAAGAAAAGCAGAGCAAACGUCCUGAGGAUAAAACCCUGUGGUCAGGUGAAGGAGGGGUGAGGCUGUGCCAUCCCUGGGGGAGUGGGUGCAGCUGAGGGGUCCUCACCUCAUCACCCCGGGCCCUGAGCAGCCCAGCCCCUUCCUCCCCCAGAAUGAAGGCAACUGCUGACACCUGCCUUCCCCUCACAGGGUUUUUUCCUUUUUUUAAACUCAAAUGAGAUGCUGAUGUUUGUAAAAGAGAUGCAGAGAGCGUAAACAGCUGUCGGAUAUUCCUGGAAGCUCAGCGGCAGCCAGUCAAUUCUCCCUGAAGUGAACACAUUAAGUCAACACACCUUGAAGUUCACGGGGAAGGACACCCAACCAGCGCCCAAGGAGGCUUUACAAAUUAUUUAGGAUGUACAUUUUUAACAGACUAAACACAUUUCUGUUUUGUAGAGAGAACUUACUGUUUUAAGAAGCACAUUAAAUUUUUUUUUUAAUGGAGAUGAAGUAGGGAAAGUCUUCCGCCCCAACUAAGGGGGGCUUUAAGAUUUAAGCGUUUCAAAUAAAGCUAAUAAAUCUUUAAUCA